rnacentral:tRNA from 1 species
CAAGAUAUAGCUUAAUUAAAGCAUCUCGUUUACACCGAGAAGAUACUCAUUAAAUCUGAUUUAUCUUGAG